rnacentral:rRNA from 1 species
GACAACGUCCAAAUCACGUUGAAACUACCGGUUCUUGUCUGAUCACUGAAUUCAAGCAGCGUUGAGCACGGUUAGUACUUGGAUGGGAGAUAG